rnacentral:rRNA from 1 species
GAUGAACGCUAGCGACAGGCCUAACACAUGCAAGUCGAGGGGCAGCACAAGGAGCAAUCUGAGGUGGCGACCGGCGCACGGGUGAGUAACACGUAUGCAACCUACCUGUAAGAGGGGAAUAACCCGUUGAAAAACGGACUAAUACCGCAUAACACUGUAGAACCGCAUGGUUUGACAGUUAAACAUUUAUGGCUUACAGAUGGGCAUGCGCAUGAUUAGCUAGUUGGUGAGGUAACGGCUCACCAAGGCAACGAUCAUUAGGGGUUCUGAGAGGAAGGUCCCCCACACUGGUACUGAGACACGGACCAGACUCCUACGGGAGGCAGGCAGUGAGGAAUAUUGGUCAAUGGGCGAGAGCCUGAACCAGCCAAGUCGCGUGAAGGAUGAAGGUUUUAUGAAUUGUAAACUUCUUUUGCAGGGGAAUAAAGUGUCCGACGUGUCGGAUUUUGUAUGUACUCUGCGAAUAAGGAUCGGCUAACUCCGUGCCAGCAGCCG